UUUGAAAUACCAGGUCUUGUACGAUCCGAAGUUAAGCAACGUCGAGCCUGGUCAGUACCUAGAUGGGUGACCGGUUGGGAAUACCAGGUGCUAUAA